rnacentral:rRNA from 1 species
AUUGAACGCUGGCGGCAUGCCUUACACAUGCAAGUCGAACGGCAGCGCGGGAGCAAUCCUGGCGGCGAGUGGCGAACGGGUGAGUAAUACAUCGGAACGUGCCCAAUCGUGGGGGAUAACGCAGCGAAAGCUGUGCUAAUACCGCAUACGAUCUACGGAUGAAAGCAGGGGAUCGCAAGACCUUGCGCGAAUGGAGCGGCCGAUGGCAGAUUAGGUAGUUGGUGAGGUAAAGGCUCACCAAGCCUUCGAUCUGUAGCUGGUCUGAGAGGACGACCAGCCACACUGGGACUGAGACACGGCCCAGACUCCUACGGGAGGCAGCAGUGGGGAAUUUUGGACAAAGGGCGAAAGCCUGAUCCAGCCAUGCCGCGUGCAGGAUGAAGGCCUUCGGGUUGUAAACUGCUUUUGUACGGAACGAAACGGUCUUUUCUAAUAAAGAAGGCUAAUGACGGUACCGUAAGAAUAAGCACCGGCUAACUACGUG